ensembl:lncRNA
GGCAAGAAGUGUGGCGCACCCGAGUUGCUGCCACUGCUUUUUGGAUCACCCAGCACGGUGAUGUUGCCACGUAUGACUGUCCAUCAGCCAGGAGAUGAACCCCCACCCGUGAGGCAGUGACUCAAGGUGCAAGGGAGUCCGGCAAGAAGUGUGGCGCACCCGAGUUGCUGCCACUGCUUUUUGGAUCACCCAGCACGGUCUUCUGAAGUCUUCCUGAAAGCAUCCCUGGUGAUCUGUGAGCCCUUGGUCGUGUUGCCCGCCUUCUUCCUGUGGGUCUUGCUGGAUGCUCAUUGUCCCUGUGAGCCGAGGCCCUGGAGGCUUCAGAUUUAGGU